rnacentral:lncRNA from 1 species
CGACUCUCUGAGCCAGCAGCUUUCCUCUCCCUCUCGGGGAGAAUCUCAUUUCCUUGGGGUGGUGAGGGUGACGGGCACUGUCUUUUGGCCCCGCGUGUCCGUUCCCCGGUCUCCCGCCUCACCCCUCUGCGAGGUGAGGAGGGGAAACGGCGAGCUUAGGCCUGGCGGGAAGGAGCCUACCCGACGAGAGGGCUCCGCGGGGAGGGUCGGUUGGAAUCCCGCCCUAGCGCCUCCUGCUCUGCCCGGUCCCCACCGGGGACGGGGAAUGCCAGUCAUUUCUGUUGAGUGCUAGCAGGGCCGGUGUCACCACCUCGGGUGGCCGAGGCUUCGAGGUUUUCAUGAAAAGCCCCCGAAGCGUGAGGCGCCCGCCCAGUGGAGAACAAAGGGCCGAGGGCCGAAGGCG